rnacentral:rRNA from 1 species
ACUCAAAUGAAUUGACGGGAGCCUACACAAGCGGUGGAGCAUGUGGUUUAAUUCGAUAAUACGCGCAAAACCUUACCAACUCUUGCUUAUAAUAUUUUAAAAUAUUACAGGUGUUGCAUGGCUGUCGUCAGCUCGUGUUGUGAAAUGUUUGGUUAAGUCCUUUAACGAGCGUAACCCUUAUUUUUAAAUACAAUUUUUUAAUUUUAAAAAAGUACUUUAAAAAAAGUUUAUAAAAAAUAAACGGAAGAUGAGGAUGACGUCAAGUCUUCAUGGCCCUUAUGAGUUGGGCUACACACGUGCUACAAUGUUAAUUACAAAAUGAGGCAAUAUUUUAAAAAAUGGAGCAAAUCUUUAAAAAUUAACUUAGUUCGGAUUAUAGGUUGAAACUCACCUAUAUGAAGUUGGAAUCGCUAGUAAUCGUGAAACAGCAUGUCACGGUGAAUACGUACCUAGGCUUUGUACACACCGCCCGU